GGGGAUGUCUUGGCUUCGACAGGAAUGGUAGAAUUUCAUCGGCAGUAGUUUGGCAGACUAUAAUGCUUCUAGGUUUGAAGAAACGCAAACAAAAAAGAAAAACAAGACAAAAUUGCAAUGCCAGUAUUUAUGAUGAACAAUCAAUUUGCUGGGGCAAUGUUAGCCGCUUAAUAUUCGCUGUUAGAGUUUUGGCUAAUCGUUAGUGUUAUUAAUUGUAGAUUAUUAAUGAGCUAAUGUAGAAGAAAAUUAAUCUAAUCGGGAUUAUAAUUGAUAGUGUUAUAAUCUUUAAAAAUAAUUAUUUAGUUAUAAGGUUAGUUGUUUUGUCCUAUUAUCUUAUAAUGAAUUAAAACUGAUAAAACUAAACUGUAGAAGAUGAUUGGAAAUUGUUUGUGGACGCGGGUUCAAUUCCCGCCAUCUCCACCA
rfam:Spiroplasma mirum ATCC 29335 strain SMCA, complete genome.